rnacentral:rRNA from 1 species
GAUGAACGCUAGCGGCAGGCUUAAUACAUGCAAGUCGAGGGACAGCACAGGUAGCAAUACUGGGUGGUAACCGGCAAACGGGUGCGGAACACGUACACAACCUUCCUUUAAGUGGGGGAUAGCCCAGAGAAAUUUGGAUUAAUACCCCGUAAUAUAGUUGAAUGGCAUCAUUUGAUUAUUAUAGCUACGGCGCUUAAUGAUGGGUGUGCGGCUGAUUAGAUAGUUGGCGGGGUAACGGCCCACCAAGUCUACGAUCAGUAGCUGAUGUGAGAGCAUUCUCAGCCACCCGGGCACUGAGACACGGGCCCGUCUCCUCCGGGAGGCAGCAGUAAGGAAUAUUGGUCAAUGGACGCUAGUCUGAACCAGCCAUGCCGGGUGAAGGAUUAAGGUCCUCUGGAUUGUAAACUUCUUUUAUUUGGGACGAAAAAGGGCCUUUCUAGGUCAACUGACGGUACCAGAUGAAUAAGCACCGGCUAACUCCGUGCCAGCCGCCGCCGUAAUAC